rnacentral:rRNA from 1 species
UUGCCAGCCCGCUCAGAAACUCAAAGGAAGUUGACGGGGCCCGCACAAGCGGAGGAGCAUGUGGUUUAAUUCGAUGAUACGCGAGGAACCUUACCUGGGCUCGAACGUAAGAUGACUGUAGGUGAAAGCUUACAUCUCUUCGGAGCAUUUUACGAGGUGCUGCAUGGUUGUCGUCAGCUCGUGCCGUGAGGUGUCGGGUUAAGUCCCAUAACGAGCGCAACCCCUACCUUUAGUUGCCAUCAGGUUAAGCUGGGGACUCUAAAGGAACUGCCUACGCAAGUAGUGAGGAAGGCGGGGAUGACGUCAAAUCAGCACGGCCCUUACGUCCAGGGCUACACACGUGCUACAAUGGCCGAUACAGAGGGCAGCUACCUGGUGACAGGAUGCAAAUCUCCAAAGUCGGUCUCAGUUCGGAUCGGAGUCUGCAACCCGACUCCGUGAAGUUGGAUUCGCUAGUAAUCGCGCAUCAGCCAUGGCGCGGUGAAUACGUUCCCGGGCCUU